CCGGUAGUCCAGUGGUUAGCACGUCGGCUUCACAGUGCAGAGGUACCGGGUUCGAUUCCAGCUCCGGCCUCCCUGUGUGGAGUUUGCAUGUUCUCCCCGGGCCUGCGUGGGUUUUCUCCGGGUGCUCCGGUUUCCUCCCACAUUCCAAAAACAUGCAUGGCAGGCUGAUUGGACGCUCUAAAUUGUCCCUAGGUGUGAGUGGGAGUGCGGAUGGUUGUUCGUCUCUGUGUGCCCUGCGAUUGGCUGGCAACCGAUUCGGGGUGUCCCCCGCCUACUGCCCGGAGACAGCUGGGAUAGGCUCCAGCACCCCCCGCGACCCUUGUGAGGAUCAAGCGGCUCGGAAGAUGAAUGAA